rnacentral:rRNA from 1 species
AGUGAACGCUGGCGGUAGGCCUAACACAUGCAAGUCGAACGGCAGCACAGUAAGAGCUUGCUCUUACGGGUGGCGAGUGGCGGACGGGUGAGGAAUACAUCGGAAUCUACUUUUUCGUGGGGGAUAACGUAGGGAAACUUACGCUAAUACCGCAUACGACCUACGGGUGAAAGCAGGGGAUCUUCGGACCUUGCGCGAUUGAAUGAGCCGAUGUCGGAUUAGCUAGUUGGCGGGGUAAAGGCCCACCAAGGCGACGAUCCGUAGCUAGUCUGAGAGGAUGAUCAGCCACACUGGAACUGAGACACGGUCCGGACUCCUACGGGAGGCAGCAGUGGGGAAUAUUGGACAAUGGGCGCAAGCCUGAUCCAGCCAUACCGCGUGGGUGAAGAAGGCCUUCGGGUUGUAAAGCCCUUUUGUUGGGAAAGAAAAGCAGCAGGUUAAUACCCCGCUGUUCUGACGGUACCCAAAGAAUAAGCACCGGCUAACUUCGUG